rnacentral:rRNA from 1 species
UACGUAGGGUGCGAGCGUUGUCCGGAAUUAUUGGGCGUAAAGGGCUCGUAGGCGGUCUGUCGCGUCGGGAGUGAAAACUCAGGGCUUAACCCUGAGCCUGCUUCCGAUACGGGCAGACUAGAGGUAUGCAGGGGAGAACGGAAUUCCUGGUGUAGCGGUGGAAUGCGCAGAUAUCAGGAGGAACACCGGUGGCGAAGGCGGGUCUCUGGGCCGUAACUGACGCUGAGGAGCGAAAGCAUGGGGAGCGAACAGG